GGCGAACGCUGGCGGCGUGCUUAACACAUGCAAGUCGAACGGAAAGGCCCUUCGGGGUACUCGAGUGGCGAACGGGUGAGUAACACGUGGGUGAUCUGCCCUGCACUUUGGGAUAAGCCUGGGAAACUGGGUCUAAUACCGAAUAGGACCACGCGCUUCAUGGUGUGUGGUGGAAAGCUUUUGCGGUGUGGGAUGGGCCCGCGGCCUAUCAGCUUGUUGGUGGGGUAAUGGCCUACCAAGGCGACGACGGGUAGCCGGCCUGAGAGGGUGACCGGCCACACUGGGACUGAGAUACGGCCCAGACUCCUACGGGAGGCAGCAGUGGGGAAUAUUGCACAAUGGGCGCAAGCCUGAUGCAGCGACGCCGCGUGAGGGAUGACGGCCUUCGGGUUGUAAACCUCUUUCAAUAGGGACGAAGCGCAAGUGACGGUACCUAUAGAAGAAGCACCGGCCAACUACGUG
rnacentral:rRNA from 1 species